GGGAAGGAGCGGAGACGAGCCCGGCCGACGCGGCUUUGUCUCCUUUGUUCCCGGCGGUGGCAGCGCCGCGCGGGAGGGGCGGGCAGCGGGCGCAGUUUUCCGCCCCUCGGUCUCCGGGUAACAGCUGCGGCUCCGCCAGACCCGGGGAGAGGCCGCUGCGCGCGGAGCCCGAGCCCGGAGCGGCCGACGCCCGCCUCGGCGCGCACAUCCCGCGGGGCCCGGCCGGGUGACUACGUAUCCGUGAGCGUGGAGCUCAGAUUUGGCGCUGUUGUGAUCGCCAAAACUUCCCUCUCUUUCUAUGACUGUGUGGCGGUCACUGAACUCCGCCCAUCUGCGCAGUGCCAGGCCUGUGUGAGCAGCCGCUGGGGGUGUAACUGGUGUGUCUGGCAGCACCUGUGCACCCACAAGGCCUCGUGUGAUGCUGGGCCCAUGGUUGCAAGCCAUCAGAGCCCGCUUGUCUCCCCAGACCCUCCUGCAAGAGGUGGACCCAGCCCCUCCCCACCCACAGCCCCCAAAGCCCUGGCCACCCCUGCUCCUGACACCCUUCCCGUGGAGCCUGGGGCUCCCUCCACAGCCACAGCUUCGGACAUCUCACCUGGGGCUAGUCCUUCCCUGCUCAGCCCCUG
rnacentral:lncRNA from 1 species